GACGAACGCUGGCGGCGUGCUUAACACAUGCAAGUCGAACGGAAAGGCCCUGCUUUUGUGGGGUGCUCGAGUAGCGAACGGGUGAGUAACACGUGAGUAACCUGCCCUUGACUUUGGGAUAACUUCAGGAAACUGGGGCUAAUACCGGAUAGGAGCUCCUGCUGCAUGGUGGGGGUUGGAAAGUUUCGGCGGUUGGGGCUGGACUCGCGGGUUAUCAGCUUGUUGGUGGGGUAGUGGCUUACCCAGGGUUUGACGGGUAGCCGGCCUGAGAGGGUGACCGGCCACAUGGGGACUGAGAUACGGCCCAGAGUCCUACGGGAGGCAGCAGUGGGGAAUAUUGCACAAUGGGCGGAAGUCGGAGGCAGCGACGCCGCGUGCGGGAUGACGGCCUUCGGGUUGUAAACCGCUUUAGCCUGUGACGAAGCGUGAGUGACGGUAAUGGGUAAAGAAGCACCGGCUAACUACGUG
rnacentral:rRNA from 1 species